GGUUAAGCGACUAAGCGUACACGGUGGAUGCCCUGGCAGUCAGAGGCGAUGAAGGACGUGCUAAUCUGCGAUAAGCGUCGGUAAGGUGAUAUGAACCGUUAUAACCGGCGAUUUCCGAAUGGGGGAAACCCAGUGUGUUUCGACACACUAUCAUUAACUGAAUCCAUAGGUUAAUGAGGCGAACCGGGGGAACUGAAACAUCUAAGUACCCCGAGGAAAAGAAAUCAACCGAGAUUCCCCCCAGUAGCGGCGAGCGAACGGGGAGGAGCCCAGAGCCUGAAUCAGUGUGUGUGUUAGUGGAAGCGUCUGGAAAGGCGCGCGAUACAGGGUGACAGCCCCGUACACAAAAAUGCACAUAUUGUGAGCUCGAUGAGUAGGGCGGGACACGUGGUAUCCUGUCUGAAUAUGGGGGCCCAUCCUCCAAGGCUAAAUACUCCUGACUGACCGAUAGUGAACCAGUACCGUGAGGGAAAGGCGAAAAGAACCCCGGCGAGGGGAGUGAAAAAGAACCUGAAACCGUGUACGUACAAGCAGUGGGAGCACGCUUAGGCGUGUGACUGCGUACCUUUGUAUAAUGGGUCAGCGACUUAUAUUCUGUAGCAAGGUUAACCGAAUAGGGGAGCCGAAGGGAAACCGAGUCUUAACUGGGCGUUAAGUUGCAGGGUAUAGACCCGAAACCCGGUGAUCUAGCCAUGGGCAGGUUGAAGGUUGGGUAACACUAACUGGAGGACCGAACCGACUAAUGUUGAAAAAUUAGCGGAUGACUUGUGGCUGGGGGUGAAAGGCCAAUCAAACCGGGAGAUAGCUGGUUCUCCCCGAAAGCUAUUUAGGUAGCGCCUCGUGAAUUCAUCUCCGGGGGUAGAGCACUGUUUCGGCAAGGGGGUCAUCCCGACUUACCAACCCGAUGCAAACUGCGAAUACCGGAGAAUGUUAUCACGGGAGACACACGGCGGGUGCUAACGUCCGUCGUGAAGAGGGAAACAACCCAGACCGCCAGCUAAGGUCCCAAAGUCAUGGUUAAGUGGGAAACGAUGUGGGAAGGCCCAGACAGCCAGGAUGUUGGCUUAGAAGCAGCCAUCAUUUAAAGAAAGCGUAAUAGCUCACUGGUCGAGUCGGCCUGCGCGGAAGAUGUAACGGGGCUAAACCAUGCACCGAAGCUGCGGCAGCGACGCUUAUGCGUUGUUGGGUAGGGGAGCGUUCUGUAAGCCUGCGAAGGUGUGCUGUGAGGCAUGCUGGAGGUAUCAGAAGUGCGAAUGCUGACAUAAGUAACGAUAAAGCGGGUGAAAAGCCCGCUCGCCGGAAGACCAAGGGUUCCUGUCCAACGUUAAUCGGGGCAGGGUGAGUCGACCCCUAAGGCGAGGCCGAAAGGCGUAGUCGAUGGGAAACAGGUUAAUAUUCCUGUACUUGGUGUUACUGCGAAGGGGGGGACGGAGAAGGCUAUGUUGGCCGGGCGACGGUUGUCCCGGUUUAAGCGUGUAGGCUGGUUUUCCAGGCAAAUCCGGAAAAUCAAGGCUGAGGCGUGAUGACGAGGCACUACGGUGCUGAAGCAACAAAUGCCCUGCUUCCAGGAAAAGCCUCUAAGCAUCAGGUAACAUCAAAUCGUACCCCAAACCGACACAGGUGGUCAGGUAGAGAAUACCAAGGCGCUUGAGAGAACUCGGGUGAAGGAACUAGGCAAAAUGGUGCCGUAACUUCGGGAGAAGGCACGCUGAUAUGUAGGUGAAGUCCCUUGCGGAUGGAGCUGAAAUCAGUCGAAGAUACCAGCUGGCUGCAACUGUUUAUUAAAAACACAGCACUGUGCAAACACGAAAGUGGACGUAUACGGUGUGACGCCUGCCCGGUGCCGGAAGGUUAAUUGAUGGGGUCAGCGCAAGCGAAGCUCUUGAUCGAAGCCCCGGUAAACGGCGGCCGUAACUAUAACGGUCCUAAGGUAGCGAAAUUCCUUGUCGGGUAAGUUCCGACCUGCACGAAUGGCGUAAUGAUGGCCAGGCUGUCUCCACCCGAGACUCAGUGAAAUUGAACUCGCUGUGAAGAUGCAGUGUACCCGCGGCAAGACGGAAAGACCCCGUGAACCUUUACUAUAGCUUGACACUGAACAUUGAGCCUUGAUGUGUAGGAUAGGUGGGAGGCUUUGAAGUGUGGACGCCAGUCUGCAUGGAGCCGGCCUUGAAAUACCACCCUUUAAUGUUUGAUGUUCUAACGUGGACCCGUGAUCCGGGUUGCGGACAGUGUCUGGUGGGUAGUUUGACUGGGGCGGUCUCCUCCUAAAGAGUAACGGAGGAGCACGAAGGUUGGCUAAUCCUGGUCGGACAUCAGGAGGUUAGUGCAAUGGCAUAAGCCAGCUUGACUGCGAGCGUGACGGCGCGAGCAGGUGCGAAAAGCAGGUCAUAGUGAUCCGGUGGUUCUGAAUGGAAGGGCCAUCGCUCAACGGAUAAAAGGUACUCCGGGGAUAACAGGCUGAUACCGCCCAAGAGUUCAUAUCGACGGCGGUGUUUGGCACCUCGAUGUCGGCUCAUCACAUCCUGGGGCUGAAGUAGGUCCCAAGGGUAUGGCUGUUCGCCAUUUAAAGUGGUACGCGAGCUGGGUUUAGAACGUCGUGAGACAGUUCGGUCCCUAUCUGCCGUGGGCGCUGGAGAACUGAGGGGGCUGCUCCUAGUAAGAGAGGACAGGAGUGGACGCAUCACUGGUGUUCGGGUUGUCAUGCCAAUGGCACUGCCCGGUAGCUAAAUGCGGAAGAGAUAAGUGCUGAAAGCAUCUAAGCACGAAACUUGCCCCGAGAUGAGUUCUCCCUGACCCUUUAAGGGUCCUGAAGGAACGUUGAAGACGACGACGUUGAUAGGCCGGGUGUGUAAGCGCAGCGAUGCGUUGAGCUAACCGGUACUAAUGAACCGUGAGGCUUAACCUU
rnacentral:rRNA from 1 species